GGCACGGUCUCCAAAAUAAAUGUAAGCGAUCUAGUGAUUUUGUUGCAUAAGAAAACACGAUAAAGCAGUUGGUUUGGUCGAGCAUUUUAGAUAGCACGUGUUGUGGAUUUGUUUGUAAACAAUCAUACCAUAGGUAAUCUUGCUUCAAAUGGGAAUUGAUAUAAAUAAAGUAUGUUUUUUCAUUAUAAUUGGGGACACAUUGUUAAUUAUUCAAAUUAUGAACCUGUGAAAAAUGUUUAAAGACUGUUUAAAGCAGAAAGAAUUAUUUUUUUUUUUAACUUUGAAAUUUCUUCGAUUUUUGUAUCCAUGAUAAGUUAUUGUAUUAUAAGCGCAUGACUACCUAUUUUAUAAGGAAAUACACUGAUUUUUGUUUUUAAAGCAGCACAAAACACAUUUAUUCUAGUAUUAUUUGAUAUACGACUAUUAGUAGAGAACUGGCCCUGGAGAAAUUCAAAUUAUUGAUAUCAUAUAUAUUCUAUAUAAAAGAAAAUUUCAGCUCGCCGCCUUUGUGGCCGUUCCGGCCUUUGAUAUUUGUAUUUUUAUAAACCUCUUUAUAUGUACCUUCAUUAUUGUGUAUUUGUAUAAAAAAACCAAAAUUAUCCUGAUACAUACACUUCUUUGAAAACUAGCUUACUUCCUAAUUUCAGAAAUAUGUAAUUUUUAUGCUUUGUUUGGUCUUUGAAUCAAGUUAGAUGUUGAAAUUAUUUGUGCUUUAAAAUGUGUAUAUUUUGCAAAGGAAAUGUUUUAACAAUGUUUAUUUACGUAUGCUUGCAUUUAUGAAUAAACGUUACAUCAAUC
rnacentral:sRNA from 1 species